AACGAACGCUGGCGGCAUGCCUAACACAUGCAAGUCGAACGAGACCUUCGGGUCUAGUGGCGCACGGGUGCGUAACGCGUGGGAAUCUGCCCUUGGGUUCGGAAUAACUCGCCGAAAGGCGUGCUAAUACCGGAUGAUGACGUAAGUCCAAAGAUUUAUCGCCCAAGGAUGAGCCCGCGUUGGAUUAGCUAGUUGGUGAGGUAAAGGCUCACCAAGGCGACGAUCCAUAGCUGGUCUGAGAGGAUGAUCAGCCACACUGGGACUGAGACACGGCCCAGACUCCUACGGGAAGCAGAAGUGGGGAAUAUUGGAAAAUGGGCGAAAGCCUGAUCCAGCAAUGCCGCGUGAGUGAUGAAGGCCUUAGGGUUGUAAAGCUCUUUUACCCGGGAUGAUAAUGACCGUACCGGGAGAAUAAGCUCCGGCUAACUCCGUG
rnacentral:rRNA from 1 species